GUAAUUUUCUUUUUGUCUUUUUUGGAGUUUGCCAAAUUGCGAAAAUAUGUUUCGAAGAAAAGGUGAAAAUUAUCACUGUUGCGCACUCUGGUGGAAGUUUUAAGAAGAAGAUAAGCGCAGAAAUGGAUACCUAAUACCAAAAAACCCAUCUUCAUGUCCUUUAAAA